ACGCUCGACACCUACGGGCAGCAGUGGGGAAUAUUGCACAAUGGGGGAAACCCUGAUGCAGCGACGCCGCGUGAGCGAAGAAGUAUUUCGGUAUGUAAAGCUCUAUCAGCAGGGAAGAUGAUGACGGUACCUGACUAAGAAGCCCCGGCUAACUACGUGCAAGCAGCCGCGGUAAUCUGAGCGGGCUGGCAAGGC
rnacentral:rRNA from 1 species